UGGGGAAUUUUGGACAAUGGGCGAAAGCCUGAUCCAGCAAUGCCGCGUGUGUGAAGAAGGCCUUCGGGUUGUAAAGCACUUUUGUCCGGAAAGAAAUCCUCUGGGUUAAUACCUCGGGGGGAUGACGGUACCGGAAGGAUAAGCACCGGCUAACUACGUGCCAGCAGCCGCGGUAAUACGUAGGGUGCGAGCGUUAAUCGGAAUUACUGGGCGUAAAGCGUGCGCAGGCGGUUUUGUAAGACAGAGGUGAAAUCCCCGGGCUCAACCUGGGAACUGCCUUUGUGACUGCAAGGCUGGAGUGCGGCAGAGGGGGAUGGAAUUCCGCGUGUAGCAGUGAAAUGCGUAGAUAUGCGGAGGAACACCGAUGGCGAAGGCAAUCCCCUGGGCCUGCACUGACGCUCAUGCACGAAAGCGUGGGGAGCAAACA
rnacentral:rRNA from 1 species